rnacentral:tRNA from 1 species
GUUGUAGCUCAGUGGAAGAAUGCUUGCCUAGCAUGUAUGAGGUACAGGGUUCGAUUCUCAGCAUACA